UUCCUGGUGGCUCAGAUGGUAAAGAAUCUGCCUGCAAUGCAGGAGACCCAGGUUCAACCCCUGGGUUGGGAA
rnacentral:tRNA from 1 species